rnacentral:rRNA from 1 species
GGCGCAACCCUUAUCCCCAGUUGCCAUCAGGUAAAGCUGGGAACUCUGGGGAGACUGCCGGUGAUAAACCGGAGAAGGCGGGGAUGACGUCAAGUCCUCAUGGCCCUUACAUCCCGGGCUACACACGUGCUACAAUGGCAGGUACAGAGGGCUGCGAAGCCGCGAGGUGGAGCGAAUCCCAGAAAACCUGUCUCAGUCCGGAUUGAAGUCUGCAACUCGACUUCAUGAAGGCGGAAUCGCUAGUAACCGCGAAUCAGCAGGUCGCGGUGAAUACGUUCCCGGGCCUU